AUGGCGACGGUGGGGGCUCCGCGGCGCUUCUGCCGCUGCGCCUGCUUUUGCACCGAGAACUUGUACGUGGCGCGCUAUGGGCUGCACGUGCGCUUCCGAGGCGAGCAGCAGCUGCGCCGGGACUACGGCCCGAUCCUGCGCAGCCGAGGCUGUGUUAGCGCCAAGGACUUCCAGCAGCUGUUAGCAGAGCUUGAGCAGGAGGUGGAGCGACGGCGGCGGCUGGGGCAGGAGUCAGCAGCUAGGAAAGCCCUCAUCGCGAGUUCCUACCACCCGGCACGGCCUGAGGUCUACGACUCACUGCAGGAUGCAGCUCUGGCCCCCGAGUUUCUGGCCGUGGCUGAGUACAGCGUGUCCCCGGGCGCAGACCUCAAGGGCCUUCUCCAGCGGCUGGAGACAGUAUCGGGGCCCAGCAAGAAAGAACAGCCCCUUCUGGCCUUCCUGCUGGGGGACAGAGGCUCCCAGAGCCACUUCUGAGUUGG
rnacentral:sRNA from 1 species